UACGUAGGGUGCAAGCGUUGUCCGGAAUUAUUGGGCGUAAAAGAGCUCGUAGGCGGUUUUGUCGCGUCUGCUGUGAAAAACCCCGAGGCUCAACCUCGGGGCCGCAGUGGGGUACGGGCAGACUAGAGUGCGGUAGGGGGAGAUUGGAAUUCCUGGUGUAGCGGUGGAAUGCGCAGAUAUCAGGAGGAACACCAAUGGCGAAGGCAGAUCUCUGGGCCGUAACUGACGCUGAGGAGCGAAAGCAUGGGGGAGCGAACAGG
rnacentral:rRNA from 1 species